rnacentral:rRNA from 1 species
UACGGAGGGUGCAAGCGUUGUUCGGAAUUAUUGGGCGUAAAGCGCGCGCAGGCGGCCUGGAAAGUCUAUGGGUGAAAUGCCGGGGCUCAACCCCGUGCAUGCCCAGGAUAGUGCCAGGCUGGAGACACGUAGAGGCAAGCGGAAUUCCGGGUGUAGCGGUGGAAUGCGUAGAGAUCCGGAAGAACACCGGAGGCGAAGGCGGCUUGCUGGGCGUGAUCUGACGCUGAGGCGCGAAAGCGUGGGGAGCGAACAGG